rnacentral:rRNA from 1 species
ACGGGAGGCAGCAGUGGGGAAUCUUGCGCAAUGCGCGAAAGCGUGACGCAGCAACGCCGCGUGGGGGAAGACGGCCUUAGGGUUGUAAACCCCUUUCAGGAGGGACGAAGGUUGGCGCGUUAAUAGCGUGUCUGACUGACGGUACCUCCACAAGAAGCCCCGGCUAACUACGUGCCAGCAGCCGCGGUAAUACGUAGGGGGCAAGCGUUGUCCGGAAUUAUUGGGCGUAAAGAGCGUGUAGGCGGUCCGGUAAGUCAGCUGUGAAAGUCAAGGGCUCAACCCUUGAAUGCCGGUUGAUACUGUCGGGCUAGAGUCCGGAAGAGGCGAGUGGAAUUCCCGGUGUAGCGGUGAAAUGCGCAGAUAUCGGGAGGAACACCAAUGGCGAAGGCAGCUCGCUGGGACGGUACUGACGCUGAGACGCGAAAGCGUGGGGAGCAAACAGGAUUAGAUACCCUGGUA